GAACGCGAAGAACCUUACCAGGUCUUGACAUCCCUCUGACCGCUCUAGAGAUAGAGUUUUCCUUCGGGACAGAGGUGACAGGUGGUGCAUGGUUGUCGUCAGCUCGUGUCGUGAGAUGUUGGGUUAAGUCCCGCAACGAGCGCAACCCCUAUUGUUAGUUGCCAUCAUUUAGUUGGGCACUCUCGCGAGACUGCCGGUAAUAAACCGGAGGAAGGUGGGGAUGACGUCAAAUCAUCAUGCCCCUUAUGACCUGGGCUACACACGUGCUACAAUGGCUGGUACAACGAGUCGCAAGCCGGUGACGGCAAGCUAAUCUCUUAAAGCCAGUCUCAGUUCGGAUUGUAGGCUGCAACUCGCCUACAUGAAGUCGGAAUCGCUAGUAAUCGCGGAUCAGCACGCCGCCGGUGAAUACGUUCCCGGGUCUUGUACACACC
rnacentral:rRNA from 1 species